GCGACCAUACUAGAACCAAUGCAAUGGAUCCCAUCAAAAUUUUGCAGUCAAGCGUGCUUGGGCGAGAGUAGUACUAGGAUGAGUGACCCCCUGAAAAGUUCUCGUGUUGCACCCC